GCUCGCUUCGGCAGCACACACUAAAAUUGGAACGAUGCAGAGAUUAGCAUGGCCCUACACAAGGAUGACACUCAAAUUUGUGAUGCAUUCCAGAUUUUU
rnacentral:snRNA from 1 species